rnacentral:lncRNA from 1 species
UUUGUUGUGAUUACGUGACACGUCAGCCAAUUUAAGCCCCACCUGUCUGCCUUCUCUCUCUUCUAUUCAUAUUCUCUUUCUUCUCUUCGAUAAUUGCCGGAAAAGGUCUGCUCCUCCUCCCUCUCUAUUCACCGCCACCGCCAAUAUCGAUGAUUCCCGUCACCGGAUCUCUCUUGCAAUCAUAGACAGAAAAGCAACCAUUUUUGAUCGAACACUUUUCUCUCCCCAUGUUUGUACUCUUCCUUCCCGACAUCAUUUGAUCGAUGAGAUUUGAUUUAUUUUCCCCUCUAAUCAAUCCCAGUUUCAGAGACGGUGAGUUUCAGAAGACGAAAGGUCAAGGGAACAUACCUACAACGACGUUGCUCUGGUUUCACUGUCAAAGUAUGUUCUUGCUUUGGGACAAUGAACUUGUUUCGUUUUUGAAUUGGUUGUUCAAUUUAGGAUUGGGUUUGGGGUUUGAUCGUAGUGUUCAAUUUACAAUUCCCUUCGUUGUAUUUAGUAGCUGAUAUAAGUUUGUGGCUGUCAAUUUCUAUAUUUAAUAUUGUCUGUGUUAUUAAGAAAUUGGAGUCCGGCUUAUUGGGGAUAAAUAUUUUCAUGUCUGAGUUCGUAUGCAUUGAAUUUUGGUGAUAGACUUGGGGAAACUGGGUGUUUUUUUACUAUCAUAUAUACUAAUGUUGAUUUCCAGUCGCUCAAGUGUUUUUGUUUGACAUGUUGUUGUUACGAAGGCUCAAGAUGUUGAAGUGGCUGCUUCUAUUUGUGACAUCAAUUUGACCCUUUUUGCUUCUGUUUAUUUUCAGUUGUUUUGCUGCACUUCGUGUCUCUUAUGCAGUUGUAAUGUAUAUGGGUUGUGCUGAUGCAAUUUUGAUAGGUGUUGUCCCAAAAAUUUCUUUUUGCUGUAGUAGAUUGGUUCUCUGUUACUUGGUUUUUUUCCAGCAAUGUGUUGUGUGGUCUUAAAGUUGUACAACCUUUGCUACUUGGGCAUACCUCAGGAUUUAGACGUUGAGGAAGCGUAGCCCCUAUAACCUCCACCAUCGGACUUCAUCAUCAUCAACUGCAAUGCAUCCAUGUCCAUGCUAACAACCAUAAAUGUUCCUCCUCGAGUCCUCAAAACUUCAGGAAACGAGCAUCAGGUUUUGGAAUGGGGCCGAUGCUGCUCAUUCUCAAACUAUACUGCUGCCGGAGACUGCAAUUCAAAAAACCACCCCCAAAACGACAAAUUCUAUGCUCCGG